AUUUUCUUCGCCCUUACCGACGAUAUGGUCGCCGCAAAGCGCCUACUUUUGCACGCUCGGUAGACUAACUCUUCUUGAUUAGGCUCACGAAAAGUGAUCACCUUGCUUUCACAAUCUAUGACCGUAUAGUACUUGAAGAGCCAGUUGGUCCCCAAGAUAACAUCGAAUCCCCACAUCUGAUCUAUCUAUCGGCAUAAUCCAAUCGCCUAUUUGCACUGGACACGCUAAACACUCAUUAUGGACACUGAAUGAAUGUUCUGGGGCAUUCACCCACCAGUAGUCCUCGUUAUAUGCCAUCUCUAUGCCAUGAGUUUGAGCAAAUGAUGCGCUAAUGAAUGAAUGAGAUGCGCCUGUAUCAAAUACUGCUCUAGCUCUAGUGCCUUUAAUCACAAUUAUACCUGCCACGACGUCGUCGUGUGCUGCAGGCUGCUGCUCC
rnacentral:lncRNA from 1 species